CCCCACUUGUUAUCAUGUUGUGUGGAUUAAAACAAACUUAUCACCCAUGGUGUUUAUAAAGCUUAGCCAGAAUUUAUCAAGGAGGAGCGCUCGAGGCAUGCGAUCAUUAGCAAGUAAAUCCAUCCAAGGAGGAGCACUCGAGGCAUGCAAUUGGUUCUGGAGAAGAAGGGGAGGUGCUGGUUGCAGGGUGCUGGAGCUGAGACGACCACAUGCAUGUCUGAGAAGAACAGGCUCAUCGAUGUCACCUCCCUCACCUUUGUCAUCUGCUGUUGUGAUGCGGAUCAAUCUAAACAUGUUUUUUUGGUUAGUUUGUCUAUUUUUUUAGGGAUAAACUUCAUUGAUUGAAGCAGCAUAUGUUGGAGAAUGUAGAUUCAGCAUUUGUUUGAGUAGCUUUGGAGGUAUUCUAUAUGACCUAUGAGUGAUAUACCCUCCUCUCUCCUCCAUCCAUUUCACUCAAGUAGUCAAGUUAACCCAGUACACACAUGUGUAGUCUGCCUUUAGGUGGUUUUCCCUUUGCUACAUAUAAUAUAGUUUUAUGAAUUUUCGAGCUCUUAUUAUACCAGACUAAGUG
rnacentral:lncRNA from 1 species